rnacentral:tRNA from 1 species
GCCUGGGUGGCUCAGUCGGUUGAGCGUCUGACUUCGGCUCAGGUCAUGAUCUCGCGGUCCGUGGGUUCGAGCCCCGCAUCAGGCU